rnacentral:lncRNA from 1 species
AAAUUAUUUCUGCAAAUUUCUGUUUUCUCCUUUUAAAUUUUUGAUUUUUUUUUGAGUUUUAAAUUUACUUUUUAGCCUCUAUUGGUUUUUUAUAUGUGUGUAACUCUUGCACUUUAAUUUUAAUUUCAAAAAUUUUAAAUAUUUUAAGUAGUCUCUCUCUUGAUUUGCUUAUGUAAUAGUUGAUAGGCAAAGUGGAAGCAGCAGAGAUAAACAUCCUUAAAAGGGGAUCAUAACAAUCACCUUGAACUCUUUUUUUUACUGCCCUUUUGCUGCCCUCAGUGGAAUUCUCCUUUUUUAUAGUGUUAUAAAAGCCAUGAUCCUCUCAGGAGAUUUACUGGGCUGCAACUCUUUCCGGGGCCACAGACAUCUUUUUGCAGACAGCUCUUGCGCACUCCUGGCAUGGAGAUGUUUCUCAUUGUCUCACCUAUUUUAAUUAAGAGGAAUAAUAUUUGAAGUACAUUAAUAUCCCUUUCUCUUUUGCAUUUUCAUGGCUUAAUCUUCUUAUUCAGAUGGAACUCUCCAUCUUACUGGAGAUGAGGAUAAGGAGGAGAUAGGGCCUGGGAUGGAGUUUAGGACUGCUAUCAUGAGAAUACAAAGAGAAGACAUUAAUAGUUACCAGCUAGUAUCUAAAAGAGGAUUUGCAGCAAGACUGCCUUAAAAUCUAGGUUCUGUGUAGAGAUUGCAUUAGCAUACUAAGAACUAAAGCUGGUAGUCAGUGAGCAUUUAUUUUCUACCCUGAGUGUAGAGAAAAUAUUUCCUUUAGCAAUUCUAGGCUAAGGAACCUGCUCUCCUAGCAGAUGGAUGCUUUGGUGGAAGAAUAAGCUGAGCCUAACCUGAGAAAUGAAGAGAAGUAAAAGGGAGUCAGAUAGGAGAGAGCAGAGCAGGCACUAGGGUUUUAAUCAAUUCCAACACUUGAUAUGAGAGUGACAGUUUAGAAACGUUCGGGUUGACACAUGCAUGUAGAAAACAUCAGUGCUAGCGGCAAGUGACCUGAUUCCCCAGGUGGGUGGGCCUGCGAGACUCUAGGCACUAGAGCCUAGAAGAAGCCCUGAGCAGAGCAUUUCCAACGUGGUGCAGGGAUAUGCCAAACAGCAGUGUUGAAGGGAGGCAGGGCUCUGGUUUCUCUUUUCUGGGUUGAAGACCCUGAGGGAGGUAUGUGCUGGAUAAGACCAGGGAAUAUGGAGAGCAGAGGGGAUGGCUUCAGUAGAGCAUACUUGACAUCCUGAUUGGAUAGCAGAGUUUCAGAGAUUAGAUCUUGGCCACUUUGGUUCUCAUGCGUUUUGUUUGGGACCUACCUUCUCCACAAGGGAGUUAGCUGAAAGUCUGAUUUGAGGUCUUUCUGGAAAGUGUAGCCCUGAAGUCAAGCAUUGUAGAAUAUACUGCCUGGGUCAAAAUUAAUUGGAAGUCACAUCCAGGAAUUAAGGAACGUUCAGAGCUGGGGAGAGUUGAAGUGGACGAAAUAAUUAGGGAUGAUCAUAGUACCUGAGAGAAAAAGAGAGAGAUUUCAAAUUAGACAGCUAGAGAAAAGAGCAGGAAGGGAGCAAAGGAGAGGAAAAAGGAGAGAGAGAGAGAGAGAGAGACAGAGAGAACUACAGUACACAUCUGAUUCAACAGCAUCAAAGUAGAAAUUGACAGUGAGGACCCACGUGACAGCAGAAAGACACCAAAUGCAGUUUCAGACGCUGUAACUCUGCCCAGACCAGGUCAUUUAAACCAUGUCCCCCCAUACACUCAAACACUGGUUUAUAGGGGAGCAGAAGAGGGAAACAGAAAUCUUUUAGCUUUACAUGGGAAGAGUGAGCACUUACCCGAAGGAAGUUUUAAGUUAUUGACUGUCCCCCUACCCCUGCAUCACAUACAUUUCUCAACCGAUAGGGCUUGUAAAAGAGAUCCAGUAAAUUUAAAGACAUUUUAAAAAGCAGAUCUGUGUCCACUUGAAUUAAACAUUUGGACUUGGGUUAAGUAGAAUCCAAGUUGUAUGAAUGACAAGAGUGGAAGGGCAAAAGGAGAUGAUAUGUGAGGAAAGACCCUCCUAAUAUUGUUUUGGCCAAAUAUGUCCUUAAGCAAUGUUGAGCUUCCUGAGGCAUUCUUGGGGGAAAAUCUAUAGGUGCUGCUGUAAGAGCCAUCUUAAAAACAAGUUCUAGAUUACGGGAAAUAAAACCUAGUUGACUCCCAUUGGUAGAUAGUAAUCUUUCUUAUUCAGAUGGAACCCUCUGUCUCACUGGAGAUGAGGAUUAGAAGGAGAUAAGGCCUGGGAUAGAUGUUAGAACUGCUACCAUGAGAAUACAAAAAGAAGGCAUUAAUAGUUAUUGAUGGGAGAAGGGACGGUACUAACUGAAAAGAGACAAUAUCCUUUUGCCCUUUGAGCCAGUGCUCUGCUACUCACUGAGAAAGCUUUUGGGGCCAAGGGAGGCAGCUGAGACUGGGCUUCUUUAAUACUUCGUACUGUUUUCCAAAGGAAAGAUUAGGCAAUGUAAAAGGUAAUCUGAUUCAGACUGAAGGCCGUGGUAUAGCUUCUCCCAGCUUCAUAAACGUUUCUACUAGACUCCCACAUGAUUCAUUUAGAGGGUUCAAAUGAUCAAGAGGUUCUUUUCUCAAUGAAACCUGUUCCCCUCUAAAAUGGCUUUUCAGUGUUCACUAAAAAUCCAGUCUUAGGAGACAGUCUUUGCAUAGUGUGUGGGACAAAAAUAAUAAUAAUAAUAAAAAGACCAUGCAAACUGAAUCUAUGCAAAGCAAUCUUAAUAACUAAUGAGAAAAAUUACAAUUGUCCUCAAUUCUUAAAAAUGUUAAAACACUAAAACUCUGUUACUGUAGGUUGGAAAUAUAUAGCAAAAUGAAAAAAAAGCUGGCUAAAUUAAUAUUUACUUAUAGCACCAUAAUUUAAAACAUUAGAAACAUUGAUAAUUGAAUUCCAUUAUUUAUUUGUAAAAAAAAAGUAUCAAAAAUAAUUUGAACAUGCUUGCCUUCUCAUAUAACUUAAAAUGUAGAAUGAAUAUCUUUUCUAUUGCGUGGUGAAUUGUCACACUCUUUCCAAAGUUUGGAUUAGCUUCCAGCAGUUUAUCUUUUGUGCUUUUAAUGUGAAAUAUUUCUGAGAUGUCCUUUAAUGUGAAGAUUUUUCCUGGCAUCACUUCCUCUAUGACAUCUUCCUCUUUUCUUUUUUGUCACAAAUGCUUUGCUUAUUUAUAUUGGUAAGUUGUUCACCUUAGCUAAAUUCCACUGGCUGCAUAUCUAGACUCUCUUGAAUGGCUGCGGUGUCAAUAUUCCCAGUCAGCUAUGUCUUCUGUGCUGUGCAUGUUUGAUUUAAAUUUUACUUAUAUUGUUAUCGCUUUUAGUUUCUUCAUUGCACUUUCAUCUUUGUUGGCCAAUUCUUUCUUUUGAGUAUCUAUUUUCAUGAAAUGUGACAUCGGUUUAUUUCCAGCCGACCAGGAGGCAACACAACUACACACUGUGUGAACUGAACCUCAGAUACCACUGGCCUGUCACCAACAGAUUUUGAAGCAAAUGAUGUGAUUGUUCACCGAUUAUCAGUGCAUCUGUUAUUUACAUAGUGAUUUGUGAACUGACAAGUUAGCAGCAGUUUCUGCUUUAUGCAAUUGUUCUGUUAAUAGACUGUGAUUGUGGACUUCUUGGUGUUUGGUCUCAUAGGAAAAUCCAAAAGCCUUUCCUGGAGAAGUUCCACUUGUUUUACAUAGGCUACUGGAUGUCUGGCUUGAUACCAAUAAUCUGAACUGUUAUUUAUUGUGGGUUCUCCAUGGUGGAGGUAAUUAUCUCUGGACAUUGAAAUGACCGGAUUGGGGCGUGCUCCACGGACCACUCCUGGAACACAUUGCAGAGGAGAGGAUUGUGUCUCUGGAACUCUUCUCCUUUGUAAGUUGAAUUAAUCUGAAUGAAUAAUUCUUCACUAGAAGAAACAGAUCCUGCUGAAUGAAAGCACAUAAUGGAGCCCUAGGGGUGAUCUGAGAAACAACUAUAAUUAUCUCUUCUCUGCUUACUGCCAUACUUAGGAAGGAGUCUUUGGACUAGGCAGAAAGUGAUCAAUUUCCUCUCAUAUUACCCUCAACCUGCGGCCUAUUUGUACUCCUGAUUGGAUAAAAGGGUUAAGAAGAACAAAAUGGUUGGAGAGAUUUUUGAAUUUUUAUGAUAAUUAUUUGGUGUCCCAGGAUCUACUGAAUGUCUCAAGAGAGGAACUUUUUUCCACUUCACAAAUUCUAAUUUUUGACUUGAUAAAGAAUGAUGGAAUUUUAGGAAUGUAGCUAAGAGAAAAUAACGUUACUUUAAAUGCUGACCACCAAAUUCUUCUCAGAAACAGUCUCUAUGGGCACAAGAAUGUCCUUGUGAGUGAAAAUAAGGGAAUAUUUGUCACACAGAUAUUUAAAUGGAAUCAGGGCUGUAUAUAACCAUGACAUAAUACUUUGUCAAAAAGUGAAAAGUUAAUCUGGUUGAAGGUAUUUUUACCUGGCAUAUGGAGAAGAUGAUGACAAUAAUGUGGAACUUGAUUAGACAUCAACAGAGACUCAAUGCCUCCUGGAAAACACCUGAGAAAUGAUUGAAGCUCGCUCUGGUCUUGCCUGGAAUCAUGCAUAACAUUUGUUGCUGCCUGCAUGUGGAUUCAUUUUAGCAGUUUAUCAAUUUGGACAGGGAAUUUUGAAUAAAAAAUUUUGGCAGUCAUUAUAGUGACUCUUCUGAGACUGAAAAUUCAGGUAACAAGGAAAAUCAGUGACUCUUUCUCUCUGCUUUCUUCAAAACACAAAUAAUCCAAUGAUGUAUAGGCUGCAUUGCCCUUUGAUUUGUUACCUUAGAGAUCAUUACAUGUUAGUACAUAAAGAAACUUCCCAAUCUUCUUUUAUAGCAUCCAGGUACUCCAAUGUGUAAUUCAGCCAUAACUUAAUAAAAUGGACUCUGUUUGAUAAACAUUUGGAUUAUUUCAAAUAUUUUACUAUUAUAAAGAAUGUUGAA